AGUGUGAAAAGCGUAGUGGACCUGCUGCACAUGCUGCAUAUGUUAAUACUGACAGCUCAAGUCUAUCAUUCAAAAAAUCAGUUUAAAGGCCUACUUUGUACACGUAGAUGAAAUAAGGACGAUGCAACCAGAGGCUGCCUUUUAAGUUGUGUGAUGUACUGCAACCUCUCUGAGCAAAAGCCAUACUUUGGAAAGGUGAUAGUUGAAAUAAUGGCAAUUUUGUACUGUUGUACUACACCAGGUACUUCCUGGAUAGAUUUGCACUUGACAGAUAGAUCAGGUUAAUAGUUAACCUAGCAGUUUCCCCCUUUAAUGUAUUAUCAUAACAUUCAAGUCGCAGAGCUAAGCAUCUGUUUUUCUGAAAAAUAUAUAUCCGCCAAUCUUUAAAAAACCAAAGGCAUGAAAUAGCACUUAGCGCUGUUCUGAAGGUACUUCUAUAAUCCUUAGUGAUAGUGAAAUUUUAAAGUUUUUUGUGUUAUGUUUUCUAAUGUUGUACAAUACAAGAAAAGACAUAUGUCAUUUUCUGGCUAGCUGGAUAUGAAACAUGAUGUAACUUUGGAAACGGGUUAAACAUGUAUUGAUCGUGCAGUGGAUGACAUAUUUGUUUCAUCCCAAUGAACAGAAAAGUGAUUGAAGAAUCUGGAAAUAUCACAAUCACAAAUACAACAUUUCAUGUUGUUAAAGACCUUCUAGGUUUUCAAAAAGAUGAUAGGGUAUAUACUGUAAAUAUAAACGGAUGCUUAGGUCUGUGAGACCCACAAACUGGGUUUACCAUGUACAUUCAAUGCUAACAAUACCAGAGAAACUACCUUCUAUCUUUUUAUUCAACUUGUGACUGCAUGAAGCAAUGUUUAGCCUUAUUGCUAGCACUUAUUUUUGUUUUGUAGGAUGAUAUGCUGCCUGCACAAAUGUUGAAAUAACCACGUAGAUGUCUGCUUUCCUGUCUUUCUUGUUCUUUAUAGAAGUCUGCUACCUGAUCGGCUUCCUUUUGUUUUUUAAAGCUUUGGACACAGCCACGUUUGGGUUUUGGUUGUUUUAAAUCCAAUUUACUGUGCCAAUUGUCCAUGUCUAUGUUUGUAUUGAGUGUUUAGCAGAUGCACAGUGUCCAAAGAGAAUGACUAUCGGGAAGCUAGCGGUCAGUAACGGAUCAAAUUAAGCAAAGGUAUAUCCUUUUGGCCUGUGCAGAAUUUUUUGAAAUGUCCCAGCUGAAAAGAAAAUGGGUAUUUUUUGUCUGACAUAUACUUAAUGUUACCGUGUCCAUGUUCGGACACCGUUCGGUGUUAUUGGCCAUAUUCGAACACAUCUAAGAAUCUACAUGUUGAAUUUUCAUAUGUGUGCACGUACAUUUACAUGUCUAUUUAGUGUAUGAAAGUGACUUUGAUGAGAGAAAGCAGUAAGAAGACUUGGGCGACCCUCAGGUGGCGAAAAAUGAAGGAGCUUUUACUGCGUAAUUUGGAGUUGUUGAAGCAUGCCAUUUUAUUGUGAAGAACAGAAGUACAACUCCUAGAUGUGUUGGCAGCAUUGAUGUUAAUUUGGGCGACUUGUUAAUACGGUUAAUACCCAGAAAAACAAGCAGCGCCCAGUGAGUUUUUACAGCAGGGAGAUAGGGGUGUCAGAGUAUGGCCAAGGGUAGCGCAUGGCUAAUUCACCGCUAUAAGCUUCGUCUAGCCGACACUUGUAAAUACAA